UACGUAGGGUGCGAGCGUUAAUCGGAAUUACUGGGCGUAAAGCGUGCGCAGGCGGUUCGUUGUGUCGGCGGUGAAAGCCCCGGGCUCAACCUGGGAAUGGCCGUUGAAACUGGCGAACUGAAGUGUGGCAGAGGGGGGUGGAAUUCCGCGUGUAGCAGUGAAGUGCGUAGAGAUGCGGAGGAACACCGAUGGCGAAGGCAGCCCCCUGGGCUGACACUGACGCUCAGGCACGAAAGCGUGGGGAGCAAACAGG
rnacentral:rRNA from 1 species